GAGAAAACGAAGUUCCAUCUGAAGACGCCCUAAUACUACAGCUGCACCUUGCAAAAGGACACGAGAAAUUUACUGAAAUGCUAAAAAGCCAGCAGCAAAUCAUUGUGGAUUUGCAGCAAAAACUUGCUGAACAGCAGCACAUGCUGGUUAGCCAGCAAAAGGAGAUUCUUGAACAGCAAAGAAAAAUGUAUGAGCAAAUGGAUCUGAUCAAAGUCCAGUAUGGCAUGCUUUUUGACACAGUGAAACAAAUGUCAUUUCAGAGUUUGCAAGAAGAUAUUCAAAAUUAUUUUGAAAGUCAUCUUCAAGGACUUCAGAACCAGGUCAGGAAUCAUCUCCAGAAGUCAUACUCUGUCCAUAAAGUAGAAGUGGAUGCAAAAGUGAUUAAUGUUGGGGAGUCUUUGCUGGACUGUGGUCUUUGUGAAAGUGAUGAAUUUUGCAAUUUCCAAAAGACACCUUCACAAUGUGAAAAAUGUACAUUGUGUCCUGCUGGUUUUUUCCAAAUGGCUGAGUGUUCUGCAAACUCUGAUCGGAUUUGCCAGGACAGAGAUGAAUGUACUGAAUCUCCAAGCAUUUGUGGUGAGAGGAUAAAGUGUCUGAAUACUCCAGGUGCCUGA
rnacentral:lncRNA from 1 species